CAGCCGUCUCCAGAGCCAUGGCAGCAGAUCCAGCCCAGGGCUGUCCCACUGUGUCCCUGAGACGACAGCUGCCUGCUUGUGAAUAGAAAACUCGUACAGCGUGGCACCCACAUUUCCUCAUGGUCAGAUAUUCUGUGCGCUAUUGUUUGCCAAAAUUAUAACAAAAAGAUGCAUUCUUGCGAUUUUAUAGCAGCCGGAGGAGGGAGAAAUAGCCUCCUCUAUUGUCACCACCACCAAAACGUAGCCUGGUCAUCCCUCCUGCUUUCCCAGCUAGAAGUCUAGAAGAUUCUCUGCUCUCCAUCAUUAGGCUUAGAAAUCGCCAAAAUGCUCCGAAGGUCGAGAGAGGAGUGGGAGCAACCCCAGGGCGGGUCCAGCCUCCUGCUCCACACAACCGGCCCACUCUUGACUUUGACAGCCCUCACCCCACCUCCCCGUCACCCCGCAACACCUGUCGCUCCCACACACGCCCUGCGCUGUUCUGCUUUGUUCCCUCUGCUUGAGUGGCAGCCCCUUAACCCUCUGCCAAAUGCCAGAAGCGCCCGGCAUUCCUGCAGGCCUGGCUCGAAUCCCACUCCUUCUGGGAGGGCUCAGCUCCAAACAGGCCCAGAUUCCACCAAGGCCACUGGCAGCAAACCAGAAGUGUGGUGUUGGAAUCUAACUAGAAAAGAGGACGGUGCUAGAGAAGGAAAAAAGACCAGCUGAUUCCUGGGUAGGUCUAGAGCCAAC
rnacentral:lncRNA from 1 species